rnacentral:rRNA from 1 species
AAUCAACGCUGGCGGCGUGCCUCAGACAUGCAAGUCGAACGAUUAAAGCUCUCUUCGGAGAGUGCAUAGAGUGGCGCACGGGUGAGUAACACGUAAGUAAUCUACCUUCGAGUGGGGAAUAACGUCCGGAAACGGACGCUAAUACCGCAUAAUGCAGCGGCAUCGCAAGAUGACAGUUGUUAAAGAUUUAUCGCUUGAAGAGGAGCUUGCGGCAGAUUAGCUAGUUGGUAAGGUAAUGGCUUACCAAGGCUACGAUCUGUAACCGGUCUUAGAGGACGGUCGGUCACACUGACACUGAAUAACGGGUCAGACUCCUACGGGAGGCAGCAGUCGGGAAUUUUGGGCGAUGGACGAAAGCCUGACCCAGCAACGCCGCGUGAAGGAUGAAGUAUUUCGGUAUGUAAACUUCGAAAGAAUGGGAAGAAUAAAUGACGGUACCAUUUAUAAGGUCCGGCUAACUACGUGCCAGCCGCCGCCGUAAGAC